UGCUGCUUCGCUGACGAGUGGCGGACGGGUGAGUAAUGUCUGGGAAACUGCCUGAUGGAGGGGGAUAACUACUGGAAACGGUGGCUAAUACCGCAUAACGUCGCAAGACCAAAGAGGGGGACCUUCGGGCCUCUUGCCAUCAGAUGUGCCCAGAUGGGAUUAGCUUGUUGGUGAGGUAACGGCUCACCAAGGCGACGAUCCCUAGCUGGUCUGAGAGGAUGACCAGCCACACUGGAACUGAGACACGGUCCAGACUCCUACGGGAGGCAGCAGUGGGGAAUAUUGCACAAUGGGCGCAAGCCUGAUGCAGCCAUGCCGCGUGUAUGAAGAAGGCCUUCGGGUUGUAAAGUACUUUCAGCGGGGAGGAAGGUGUUGUGGUUAAUAACCGCAGCAAUUGACGUUACCCGCAGAAGAAGCACCGGCUAACUCCGUGCCAGCAGCCGCGGUAAUACGGAGGGUGCAAGCGUUAAUCGGAAUUACUGGGCGUAAAGCGCACGCAGGCGGUCUGUCAAGUCGGAUGUGAAAUCCCCGGGCUCAACCUGGGAACUGCAU
rnacentral:rRNA from 1 species